UCCCUCGAGCCGGAUUUGAACCAGCGACCUAAGGAUCACCGUUGUAACAUCUACAUCCGCUCUGCCAACUGAGCUAUCGAGGG
rnacentral:tRNA from 1 species